AAAAAAAAAAAAAAAAAACAGUAUGAAAAAAUCAGAAUAAUCCUAAAACGCCAACUAAAGGAGGCGUUCUGCUGAUUUGGAGUUGUCCAAAAGUUGGGAAAAAGCAGUGGGAAGCAUGGAAAUGGGCAUGAGACUUUGCUGCUGGUGGAAGUGAUUUUUCCUCAAGACUCAUGACAAAUGUUUUCUCUGGUGUUCAGCAAAUGAAAUUCAAAAGUCAGAUGAACUCGUAACAUCGCUGCUUCUCUUGCUGCAGUAAGGCCAAGAAAGAUGGAGGGCAUGGCCAGCUCCAAGACUUCACUGAGUCUCCCCAAGGCAGGAAAGGAGCUUCAGUCCUAGAGUCCUCUGAUAACAUUAUUUCCUCAAGGUGAACAUGCUUCCAGAAGUUAUUUGGAGUAAUUCUCU
rnacentral:lncRNA from 1 species